AAAGAACCUCUUUGAUGUCACGGAACCAAGCUUUGCGUUUGGAGGAAUCAAUGCCAAGGGAAGUACGAGAAGGGUUGUGCUUGAAGGUGCUCCAUAGAAAGACAUGGUAUCCCACUGCUAUCAACAAACUUAAUGGCACAACUAUGCUGUCUGUGUCGAUCUUCAUUCUCAUUCCUCUCCUUUUUUUUUUCUUCCAGUUUUGGAGACUAAUUACACUGAUUCUAAUUCGCAUUAGCAAAGGAAUAUACCAAUAUAUAAAGAUAAAAAGUUAGUGGACAAAUGGGAUUCAUAGUCAGAUAUCAAAACGAAAAUAGUGGACAUCUCUCCAUUGUCUUGCCGGUGUUAUUUUGGACGUAUACGCAACUAAUUCUUGGUCGGACUAUUAAACAAAAGUUAAAUAUUUAGGAUAAAGUAGGACAUAUUAACAUCUGACAAUGCACACUCACAUUACCCACUAGCUAAAGUAGGACAUAUUAACAUCUACAUAUUUAUUCGGUUCGGUUAAUUCGGUUUUUUGAUUUUUCGGUUAUCUAAAAAUUCUGCCGAAUUGAACCGAAUUUUUAUUCGGUUCGGUUUGUUCGGUAUUCGGUUCGGUUAGUGGAUUUAAAAACAGUUCCGAAAUAAACCGAAAAUUUUCCUAAUUCGGUUAAUUCGAACCGAAUUAGACCAAAA